rnacentral:tRNA from 1 species
GGAAGCGUGGCCGAGUGGUUUAAGGCACUGGUCUUGAAAACCAGCAACGGGGCAACCCGUUCGUGGGUUCGAAUCCCACCGCUUCCGCCA